rnacentral:tRNA from 2 species
GCCGCUUUAGCUCAGUUGGUAGAGCACGUCAUUCGUAAUGACGGGGUCGUCAGUUCGAGUCUGACAAGCGGCACCA